GACUGAAUUCCAGCAAGGAUCUCCUUCCAACAGUUGAGAAUCAAGGUAAGGUGUUGUAUGCUGUGAUGCUGGAACUGUGAUCGUAAGGUGAUUUCCAGCAGCAUC